AUUUCCUUAGUAUAAUUAUUAUAGAUGACUUCCAAUUAUCUGACCUUGGUGAAACCCCAAGAGGAAAUA
rnacentral:tRNA from 1 species